GGCAGAGUAGGUAUUGUGCGUCAAGUGUUAGAGGAUGGGAAGUCGUCUCUAAACGAAAGGUUGACCUGCGAUACAAUACCGCGUCCGCUGUU
rnacentral:ncRNA from 1 species